rnacentral:rRNA from 1 species
UACGGGGGGGGCAAGCGUUGUUCGGAAUUACUGGGCGUAAAGGGCUCGUAGGUGGCCAACUAAGUCAGACGUGAAAUCCCCAGGCUUAACCUGGGAACUGCGUCUGAUACUGGAUGGCUUGAAUUCGGGAGAGGGAUGCAGAAUUCCAGGUGUAGCGGUGAAAUGCGUAGAUAUCUGGAGGAAUACCGGUGGCGAAGGCGGCAUCCUGGACCGAGAUUGACGCUGAGGAGCGAAAGCUAGGGGAGCAAACGGG